GGGCCUGUGGCUCAGUGGUAGAGCGCUCGGUUGGCAAUCGAGAGGUCCCGGGUUCGAUUCCCGGCAGGUCCA
rnacentral:tRNA from 1 species